rnacentral:lncRNA from 1 species
UGUAAUUGUAUACAAUAAAACAUGUUACUCUAAAAUUACUCUCAAUUGUCCCCUUAAACCGGCUUAAGGUGAAUUCCAGUUACUAAGAUAUUGUUCUUCCAAAAAAAAACUGGGUCAACUUUUGACCAAGAGAGGAGCUUGUUGCAUACGACACUAUGGUCCAUUCCCACCACACAGCAACCACAUUCGCGCGCGAUUCAACUUCCGAUUCCUCUGUUUUUGAUUCCUUCCGUUACCACAGCUCCACCGUACUAAUGACGCACAAACAACGCUUCAAGCGAGUUGCAAAACCCAUUUUACAGUUUCCACGAAUCAAACCCGCACGUAAAACGCGGCUUUCCAAAUCACCCAAACUCACCGCUCCCGAAUCCAACUCUCCAUCAUCAGAACCGCACAUUUCUUUCGAAAAAACGGAAACUUUGCCCCGCGAGUUCUUCCAAAUCGACGCAUUAGACCUUGCCCCUCGUUUACUCGGAAAGUUUCUUCGCAGAGACGACAUCGUUCUUCAGAUUACCGAGGUAACGUACUUUCGGCAUAUUCAAAACUCAAUUUAGUUCCUAAAUUUGUAGCAUUUUAUCAAUUUACUCUUUUGAACUUUACUAAUAGUCCAAAAUAUAUUUGAAAUUGAAAAUUUUGAAUAGGUCAAUAAUUUUACACGGACGUUUCCUGAUUAAGUUUAGUUUAUUCAUUUUUUUAAAAUUAUUACCGAUGACGUCGGUGUCGUGUCUGCGCUUCAUAGGUUUUAGGUUUUAAAGUUCUGUUUGUGUGUGUGAUUUAACUAGGAAUUAAUGUUAGACAGGUUGAAGCAUACAGAUCAAAUGACUCAGCUAGUCAUGGUCGAUUUGGUAUUACUCCAAGAACUGCUCCUCUUGUAAGAUGCUUUUUUUUCCACUUCUUUUUAGUCAUUUGCAUAAACCUGUUUAUGAUUCAUGAGUAUCUGAAUUCUCUAACUUGAAUUGAAGAUGCUAAGUUAAGUUAUGUAGAAUAAAAUUUCUCUGUAUUUGUUCCUGUUUUGUAGUUUGGACCGUGUGGGCAUGCGUAUGUUUAUCUUUGCUAUGGACUCCAUGUGAUGCUGAAUGUGUUGCUGAUAAGGAAGGAGCUGAGCUGGUGUUUUGAUACGUUCUUGUGCCCCGUUUGUGGUAAUGGUUAAUCGUAUAGCUCGUUCGUUGUUUGUACUGAGGUUUAAAUUGUGAUAGCGAAGACAUCAAAAAUCUUGAUGUCCAGCUGAGAUUUUGGACCUUAUUUUAAAACACUUACUAAGUAAGAGUUAAAUCAACUAUAGCAAAAUGGCUACAAUAUCUCCACUAGCAUUCAUUAACAUAUAACCCAUGCAUAAAUUAUUUCUGUUUAUUUUGUAAUGUUCGACAAUAUUACAGGAUUGGAUGUUAUUCAACAGCGCGAGGUCAAAAACGGACAAACCUAUACUUCUUACAGGUCCUGGGAAGGUUAGUUUCCCUCCCACGUUUUCAUCUGUUUAAGAUGCUUUCCAGGAAGAUAAUACAGCUAAUGUUUUGCACUACGUAUCAUAUCAGAGUUCACUAUGAUCACAAUGAUUACAUUGGUUCUUGCUAAAAUAGAAAUAAAAAUAAAUAAAUAAUAAGAUAGAAAGGUUUCAUCACUUAGUUUACUUCCUAUCUUUGACCAAUUCAAUGCUAUUUAUUAAUCUUAAGAAAGAAAGUUGUUAAUGGAGUUGAAUUUUUGUUUUCAAACUAAUGUCCUUGCAUUCUGAAUAAUGUCUUUCUAAAUCUUAGGUUGGUCAGGCUCUAGGUCUUUCAACUGAAUGGUCCAAUCAUCCCCUUUAUACUCUCUGGUAAGCUCAUAUUAUUCUUUGUGUUCCAAAUCUGAAAUUUAAAAAUAGAUAUCAAUGGUUUCUAAAGGAAAAGAGUGUCGAUGCAGGCGGUUUGGAACUCUUAGAUGGUCCAGAGCCUGAAAACAUACUGGUAGGUCACGUGGUUGGUAUCCAGUACGCAUUGCCAGAGCAUGUCGAGGCACUGUGGAGAUUUGCCAUUGCAGGUUCCGCCUUGGAUUAGUGCUCCAAGAAACACUCUCAGGCCACCCUUGUAGAGUGGAAUGGUAGUAGCUUGAGGAAUACUAGUGUUUUGAUAAUAACUAACAAGUUAGUGUGUAUCUUUAUCUUUGAACUUUGUAAGAAUGUGUCAUAUAUACACCUUAUAAAAUAUAUAUUGUAUAGAAUUUUACUCCUAGAGUUACCUCAUAUAGAAUCACCCAAAAAAUGCCACAUUGAAGUUACAUUUCUAAGGGAAAAACCCAAACGCCUUCUCUUAGGUAUUUUUAUUUGAGGUGUCAUUGGGCAUUAAAUGGAGGUUUUACAAUGUAGUUUGACCUGUGAUUCAUUUUGUUGUGAAAACUAGCUCUUUCUACGAAAUUCAACUAUUGUUGCAUCAAUGUGGCUUUGUGUUGGUUUUUGAUGAAUAUUAUAGAUACAUUGUAGAUAGGAUUUAGGUCACAUUGGGUUGAACCAUCUGGAUCUUUGUCUUGUGUAAGGGGUUUGUCUUGUCCUUCCGAGAGAAUAUGCAACGGUGGCUGAUUUAUUGGAUGCUGAUGCCAAUUGGUAGAAUGGUUCACCUUGAUAAUUGGAUGGUGUUCUAGAGUUUGAAUGUUCCUGAGAGAGUGCAGUAUUUUUUUGGAAGAGAGUUAGAUCUGUAGAGUUAAAUGUAUAUUCUAAGGUGUUAUUUUCUUGGUGCCCAAGAGAGCAUGAGAGAGUGCGGUAUUUUCUUUGGAAGAGAGGUUUUAGAUCAGGAGAUUUAAAUGUAAAUUCUUAAGUUGUUCUUGUUGGUGCACAAGAGAGCUGGGGGAAAAAGUUGUAACUAAUUACAACUUUUCUAGUGAAAAUGAUUACUCUAAAAAUUAUGUUACAAGCAAACUUACAUUGGGUUUUUAGACUAACACCCAAGUGAAAUGAAACUUAAAUGCAAUUUAAAUUACAUCUAAAUGCAAAUAAAAUACUAAUUAAAUAUUGAAUUUGGUUUCCAUCUCAACCCUAUUUCUUAAUCCACAUUCAAGAUUAAAAUUAACAGUAUUAAUUUCAUCCUUCAAAUGGAUAAAAUGUUCGGUCUUGAUUGCUUUGGUCAGAACAUCUUUAGCUGCUUCUGAGUGCUAUAGUGAACAAUUUCAAGUAUUCCACACUGAACUUGAUUCCUUAGACAAUGAAAUUUUGUGUCAAUGUGCUUACUCCUUUCAUGCAGCAUUGCAUUCUUGGAAAGACUUAUAGUUGAUUUGUUGUCGAUCAUCAAUUUCACAGACUUGCUUACCUUGAUCUUCAGAUCCUGCAGCAAGUUUAGAAUCCAAACAGCUUGACAAGCAGUCAAAACACCUAUAAUGUACUCAACUUUAUAUGUUGACAAUGCAACCACUGGUUGCUUCUUGGAGCAUUAAGAAAUGAAACCUCUUAGAUACUUGAAAAAUAUCCAGAAGUACUUCUUCUGUCAAUUUUGUCUCCACACCAAUCAGAGUCUGAAUAACAUAUCAGCUCUGAAUCAGAUUCAACACCAGAAGGGAAUAAAACUCCAUACUUCAUAGUCCCCUUAAUAUACCUCAACAUCAUGACAACAAAUUGAUAAUGUGACCGCUUUGAUUUGUUCAUCUCAUCAUUCCAACUGCAUAACAGAUAUCGGGUCUGGUAUUACAGAGAUAUCUUAAUGAGUCUACCAAUUGUUUAAAAAUUGUAGCAUCUACAUCAUCACCCUCAACAUCAGAAUCUAAUUUGUGAUUUGUUUCAGCAGGUGUGAUUGCAGACUUGUAGUUCGUCAGCUCAAAUCUCUUCAGAAGCUCAAGUUCAUACUUCAGCUGAUGCAAGAUUAUACCUUUAUUAGAGUGUAAAAUCUCCAUCCUUAGAAAAUAUACCAUAUCUCCUAGAUCAGUAAUCUUAAACUCAUUCAUCAACACCUUCUUGAAUUUAGCUAUCUCAUCUGAACAACUCCAUAUUAGAAAUAUGUCAUCAACAUAAAAACAUACCAAAAUCAUAUUGAUAUCAGAUGUAUGUUGAACAUGAAGACCAUACUCCAUCUCACAUUCCCUGAAUCCUUGAAGCUUAAAAAAUGAAUCAAUUUUCACAGUUCAGGCUCUAGGAGCUUGUUUCAAUCCAUACAAGGCUUUAUGCAACAUGUACACAAUCCCAUCCUGAUUCUUUUUCACUAAUCCAGGAGGUUGUGAUACAUAAACUUCCUAUUAUAAAGGAUCAUUCAGAAAUGUAGAUUUCACAUCUAAAUAGAUCACAUGCUAAUUCCUAUUAGCAUCUAUAGCAAUCACCAGUCUAAUUAUUUCAUGUCUAGCUACAUGAGCAAACACCUCAAAGUAAUCUAGUCUAGAUUUUUGUAAAAAUCCUCUAUCUACUAACCUUACUUUGUGUUUUCCAAUUGAUUCAUAUGGCUUUAGUUUCACCUUGUAAAUCAAUCUGACACUAGUGGAUUUCUUAUUCUUUGGAAACUCAGUCAACUCCCAAGUCUUGUUUCUUUCUAUAGCCUCAAGUUCUUUUUUCAUGGCCUUCAGCCACACUUCUUCUUGAGAGCUUCUUCUGUACUGACUGGUUCAGAGUCUACCAACAUGGCACACUUAAUGACUUCCCAUUCAAAGUCUAUCUUAGUAUCUUGUAGCAUAUCGAACUCUGCAAAUAUAUGGGGUAUUUGUCUGAUUCUUUAUGGUCUCUGAAAUUGUUCAGAAUCUUCUUCAUAUGCUGGAACAAUAUCAGAUAAAAAACUUUAAUUAUUAUUGUAAACAUUUGUCUUAUUAUAUAUGGACUGCUUGCCAAUGUAUUUAUUUUUUGUAGUACCAUGAAACAUUAAAAUGUAUCAGCCAUGAUAUGAAGGUUGCAAAGCUAGUGCAGCCUGAUGAGCCAUCGUUUUAAAAUAUCACGCAACUAUCUAGGUUGUAGAAUUUAUGUAGGAUUGGACAUGAUGGUAACAUAUUUGAGAGUUGACCUAAGAAAAACACAAUAGGAGAUAGAUGGCACUAUAUGAUGUCAUACUAAGCUUUCAUUCUUAGCGGAUCUCUAUGAGCACCACCUGACUAGAGUUGUGGAUGUUGAUGGUGAUGAUACGGAGGUUGCAUACCAUAUAGCAUGUGCAUUGAUGGCAUAUCUUUUGGUUUUGGUCGCCACAUCCAUUUUUAUGGACAAAGGUACAACCUACGUCAAUGUUAUCUACCUUAGAUAUUUCAUUGACUUUGAGAGGAUUCACGAGUAUAACUGGGGAAUUUAUUGUUUGGUGUCCCUCUAGUCCAAACUAGUUGAUGGUACUUUAUGAAAGACUCAAUAGUUGAUAUGAAACAACUAUCUCCUUACGAUACUUUUUGUGCACCUUUAUUGAUAUUAACGUCAUAAUAGUUAUGCUACAUUGUUACUAAUAUUUCAUCUGAACCAUUUUCAGACAUGGAUCCUCCAGUAUUUUCCAUGUCUCUUUGGCUAGGCAUGCGUGGAAGACUACUCUGAAGCUUUUCAACGUUAGUGUGCUUGAUCAUCUCGCUCGAAGGGAAUUAGGCAACUGAGGCAUUCUGAUUUGCUCUUGACUGCAUCGUGUCGGAUGAUAUUUGUUGGAUAUCGUAUGCCGAUCACUGUGACACGGUCUUUAGAGGUGUACCCCCAUCUACUUGAUUAAUUCUUGUGGAAGUUUGGGUAUACUCAGAGACCCCACUGUUGUUUCUCUUGCCAUUGUCCUCAUCAUGGAUGUUGAUGAGAUUUUUGUAUCAUAUUACGAUCAUUUGGUCCCAGAGGAUGUAAGACGUGUGUUAGCUCAUAAUUGAUGGAGUACUACAUAUAAUUGCAUCCAAUGGUUUUAUAGAGUGUCACGUCAUUACAUGUCACUGGAGAAGGAGAUCCCCUAAGGCCAGCUCAUCAUGAGAUCUUAGAGGAAACGCAUGUAAGAGCGGACCAUGUCGUUGAUGUAUUAUUGAUAUGUCACUGCAUUAUGGCUAUUGAGAAAGAGGUUAUGGCUAUGGAGAACUUGAGGAAAUCACUCCUCAGAUGGUCAUUCUACAAGCCAUCUUAGUAUAGGCACAACAUGUGUUGUAGUACCAGCGAUAGAGGGGGAGCAAGGGUAUCAAAUAUACACAGUAGUGGAAUUUUAUUUGGUAUAUUUUGACAUUUCGCAUUAUGGUUUAUACAAGGAUUUAUUAUGACAUUUUGGCAUUCAUAUAUAUGUUAGUUCUUCUAUUUUGAUCUUAUUAUUGAAUGAAAAAUGUGUAUGCUCUAUUUUGUAUGGUUUCUACGAAUCUCGGGAAAUUGCCUCUCAAGAUCUCUAGAAAUAAUACGAUAGUUUCAUAUUUUUUUUUUAUAUCUUUUACAAGAGAGGAAUAGGUUAUAUAUACAUGAAAAAUCAUAUUCUUAAUUAUAACCAAAUCAGGAUAAUUAAUAACUAAUAACUAUAUUCCAUAUUAUAGCUCCUAUGAUAUUAAUGGAUAUCUCGUGCCAAAAAGUUCUUGGUUUCUAAGGGCGACCUCUUUGCAAAUUAUAAUAAUAAAUUGUGAUCGACCAAGUUGUAGUUGGUGGAGGUGGCCUCUAAAGUCUAAUGCCAUCAAUGGAAUUGAUGAAUCAACUUUCUUUUGGAUUUUUCACUAUUAUUCAUAUUUGUAUAUAAAUGUACGUGUUCAUGGUAUUAACAUGAAGUCGCUUUGGCUGAGUGGUUAAGACAUGUGCCUGCUAAGUACAAGGGGUUUCCCCGCGAGAGUUCGAAUCUCUCAGGUGAUGAUUUUUUAAAACACAUGCUAGUAACAUGAUUUAUGUUAAUUAAUAAUGCUUACUGAAUGCACAAGAGUUAGUAACAUAUAAUUAUUGGGUCACUCAUAGUUAGCUUAUUUGAAAUAAAUUUGACAACUCUUUAUGGUUUGAAUGGACUAGACGUUGCUACUUUUGGUCUUAUACCAAUGAAUUUUAUAACAUGGAGUCACUUUGGCCGAAUGGUUAAGGCGUGUGUCAUGUUAAGUACAUGGGGUUUCCCCGCAAGAGUUUGAAUCUCUCAGGCGACAAUUUUUUUUUGGGAUUGGUUUCAUAAGAGGGGUUGGCUUAAGAGGUGGGGUUGGUUUCACACAGGGCCGGCCUUUCACAGGCGCAACAGGCCCUAUGGAACUGGGCCCCAAAAUUUUGGGGGCCUAUUUUUUUUUUUUUAAUUAGUUUAAACAAUACUUUGAAUUUUUAGUGUAUUUUUUUAUUAUUAAAUUAUAUAUAUAUUUUAGAUUUAGGCCUAUUUAUUAAAUUAAAACAGGGCCUCCAGAUUGAUUGGGCCGGCCCUGGUUUCACAUGACUUUUAUUAAUACUAAUAUGUUGAAUGUCAAAUAUGAGAUCGUCACCAAUGUCUUCAUCAUUAAACAUAUGUGCUAGAAUCCAAGGUUCAGUCCCAAAAUAUUUGUGCAACCUUAUUUGUGAUACCAUGUCUUUAAGGGAAAAAGCUUGAAAAUAUUCUUGAGCAUCUUUAGCAUGGGCAGAAGCUUGAGAAUAUACAUGAAUAUCUUCGGCGGAAAAUAAGCUUGAGAAUGUGCUUGAGAUUUUUCAACAUAGAAAAAGCUUGAGAAGUACAUGGUUACUGUUCCGGAAUGACCGUAAUGGACAUUAACUGAUCGUACGAAAGGGGGUGUAGAAAAAGGGAGUUAUACUACGAAAGAGAACAUGAGUUAUCCAACUAUUUCCCGUAUCUCACGCUUGGAGAAUAGGAGUUUGUUGCAAUUGUCUCACUAUAUUAACACAUUACAAUAAAUAACGCUUUUCAUAACGAAAUUUUCACCUCAAACAAUAGAAAACCGAGGUAUAAAGCCAAGACGCACUAUUUUGUAUUAAUUAAAAAAAUAAAAAAGCAUACAUUCCCUCGGUUUUUUAUAACACAAAAGUGAAAAAACAACUCAGUACAAGUUUCAAUUCCAGCUAAUGCACUUUAUGAUUUUAUUUGUUUAUAAGUGUAAACAAAAUGUUCUAACCCUUCAAUUUUCUAUUUAACCGAAGGGUUAGAAUAUAAGAGCAAAGAUAUUAGCGAAGAUAUUUAGUAAUAAGAGCAAAUUUUUGUUGUAAAUAAUUUAUUUUAAUAUUAUAUGUAAAAAAUGUAAUUUCAACAAAAAAAAAUUAUUCACCUCGAUUUUCGUCAUCAUUGAGGUAAUAGUUAAAAGGAGAAAAUAAAAAAUCUCGAUUUUAUAUUAAAACAUAAGUGUUUAAUCAUCAUAUUUUAUUAUAAAAACACUCGUUAAAUGAUUUUACCCUAAGAUUUUUCUGCCCUUGCAAUCUAUUUCACAUAAUGAUGUUUAUGUUAUUGUUGUAUUUUUUCAAUAAACUUCUUAUGUUGUCAAUCAAAGAAAACAUUGAGAAAUUUAUUGUUUUCCUCAAUUGACAACAUUGAAAAAUUUAUUCCUAAAAAUAAUUAUCUAUUUCUCUUUCACGUUCUCUGUCAUGUUAAAGCAUUUGCCAUGAAAAAUAUUUGCUCAAGAUAAUGAAAUCUCUCUAGGAUGGAUUGCAAGUACAGAGAAAAAAAUUCUCUUAUUUGAAACAAAUAACUUAGAAAUUUGGAAAAAUAUGUUGUUCUCCAAGAAUCAUUUGUCAAACUCUUGAUUUGUUUGAACAAUUUAUUUUAUUAUUUUGUGUAAACAAUGUAAAUAUUAAAAAAAAAUCCCUCGAUUUUUAACAAAUGUUGAGAGGUGUGUGGUUGAUUUGUUUGGACAAUUUAUUUUACUGUUCUGUGUAGUCAACAUUGAAAAAAACAAUAUUUUCCCCUCUGUUUUUAACAGAUACCGAGAGAUAUUUGACGUUUGGGUUGGAACAUGUUUUAUUGAGGUAAAAUAUAAGUGUGUUUCUUCAUCGUUCUUAAACAAAUCUUUAUCUUUCAUUUAAUAAGUAUCAACGCUGAAGACACUGCCAUUAGCAAUCCUCGUGAAACCUAAAAUCCUCAUUAUAAAAGUAUUCUCAAUAUUAGUGAAUAUACAAGAAACUAAAAUAUUGUGAAACCCUCUAUGUUUAAUCAGAACACUGUAUCAAUGUGAUAUAUUGUAAGAUUAGGAAAAAUUUAGGUUUUUAAUAUAUAAUUGGUGAGAGUAGUGUAUUUACUUUGCAAGUGAAGAAUUGCAAGUGCAGAAAAUUAUUUGAGGUUCAAGGUUUGUGUUAUUAUAUAAUCAUAUAACUAGAUAUUUAUUUUACUAUCUUGUUUUUUUUUUUGGUUUUAUAUCAGAAACAAAUGAAUGCAAAAGUCAUUGAGAAUAUAUUGCAUUCAACAUUUGAUCAUCCUCAAGAUCAAUGAAACGAGGAUCCCCAACAGUUGUUCUUCUCAAAGAGAUCCAACAUGUGUUCUUCACCGACAGUGAUGACGAUGAAUAACAAUAUUUUUACUUUAAUUUUUUGUAUAAACAGUGUAAUAUUUUAUGUAAAUAAUAUAGUUUGUAAACAAAUUAAUUUAUUAAUAUUCCGUGUAAAUAAUAUAAUAUCGAUUUUGUUAUAAAACCGAGAGGUAUAUGAUAUUAGUUUGGAAAAUAUAAAAAAACUAUUGAUGGGAUCCAAACAUAUGACCAUUUAAAAUAACCCCUAAGUUAUUUUUAAACUGAAACAAAACUCUCACUUUUCAUGUCAUCCUUUGUUACUUUGGCAUUAUAACCGAGAUAAAACUCAUAUCACAUUCGAUAUGAUAUAUGUUAUUUGUAAUAAAGACGAUAACUUGUAAAUAAAAAACAAAGUGAGCAAUUGAUUAUAAAGAGAGAAAAAAAGAAGUUGAAGUUUGAUAAUGACAUUUUAACAUUCAAAAACAAAAAGAGGUGAACAAAACAAAACAAUCAAAUAAGCCAACGUUUUAUAAAAAACAAAAGGAGCAUAUGUUUUUAACAUAAACAAAUCAAAAUGAAUGAAUAGUUGACUUGUAGGAUGACACAGGUCAGACAAGUAUUUUAAAAAAUGUUUUUAUCACUCAACAAAUUAAAAAUAAUAAAAUGUUAACUUGUAGCAUGACAUAAAUCACGAAAGAAUUUUAAACAAAAACAAAACAAUCAAAUAAAAAUUAAGUAUUCACUUAAUUUUAAAUGAACCGUGGAAGCCUAAAUGAAUCAUCAUUCUUGCUUCUUCAAUGUCCGACACUUCUUCAACUUUGUGAAUGAAGGGUACUUCUUUAUUUUACUGCUCUCUUUACUUAAGUUAUGGUUUUUAGUAUUUUCUAGAAACUCAGAUUUUGAAACAAGUCUCUCCAAUUUUCAAAAGUUAUUCAUCAAUUCAGUUUCUUCUAUUAUACAAGUAAAUGAAUCACUUCAAUAUAUAUAUAUAUAUAUAUAGUAUAUAUAUUAUAUUAUAAUAUAUAUAUAAUAUAAUAUAAUAUAUAUAAAUAUAUAUCAUUAUAUAUUAUAUAUCUAUAUAUUAUAUAAUAAUAAUGAUUAUAUAUAUAUUAUAUAUAUAUAUAAUAUAAUAUAUAUAUACAUAUGUUUUUACAUGCGCAAUAUAUCUUAUUUUAUCCUUAUUUAUAUAAGGUGUGUGUUUUCAAGGUUUAAAAAUAAUUCCCAGGAAUUGUCAGGAAUGCAACUUCCAUGUUGAUUCAAUUUUAAGAAUUAUCCAAGAUAUAUUUUAUCCAGAACUUAUUGUCACUGGUUUUUAUUUUAUCAAGGUUAUAAAGGUGAAAUCCCCCACCAUCCUAGGAAUAAAAUUAAACUAACACAACUCCCACAUACUACACAUUAAUUAUUUAUUUUUUAUAAUUUUAAAUUAAAUAUUAUAACACAUUUCUAGGAAAUUAGUUUUACCAAACACUUGAUAAAAAAUUAUUCCAAUAAAUAAUAAUGAUGGAAUAAGAUUCCAAAAUAGUUACUUCUAAACUGAAACAAACACACCUAAUAAAUUUGGAUUAUAUUUAUUACUCCUUUGAUUAUUUAUAAAAAUUUUUUUAAAUUAAUGAAAAAUUAAUAAUCUAUAUACAUAAAAACAAAUAUAUAAUUUCAACAAACAUUGAAAUAUGAACCUUUUUUCUUUUAAAAAAAUAAUUAAUAAAAUAAUAAAAUUAUUUUAGUGCCCAAAAAUAUUACAAAUUUGUUAAGGCUUGCUCAUUCCACAUCAUAACAAUGAUUUUUAUUAUUUAUUAGUUAAUACAUUUUGUUAAUAAAACUCAAAUAAUAUGAAAAAAUUUCUAAUGUUGUUUAGAGUUAUAUGCUACUUGUUCGGUUAAUUUUUAAGUCACUAUUGAUAUAUUGAUAAACAAAUAGAAUAAAUAAUAUAAUUUGGAAUUGAAGAUGAUGAAUAAUGGGAAUUAGGAGAGAGAGAAUUUGUCAUAUGUUUAUUGAUGAUACUCUCAAGAUAUAAUAUUAUAUAAAUAUUAAAUAUAUAUUAAUUUAUAAUACUAUUAUAUAUAUAUAUACUAUAUAUAUAUAUAUUUAUAUAUAUAAAAGACAUUACACAACAAUUGGGAUAUAAUUAACAUAAGUCAAAUAAUAGAAAAAUAAAAAACUCGAGCUUGUGACCGAUUACACAAAACUUGUAACCGAGUACAGUUGAAACAAACUGAAAUUAACUAACAAUGGUAACCGGUUAUUGCGAAUGUGUAACUGGUUACACCAAUUCCAUAAGCACAUUUUGCUACUUAUUUGACUUCUUUUGACACCUGUAACCGGUUACUCCCCCGUGUUAAUUGAUUACAAUAUUUUAACUACUCAAAAAACUCUUAACACACCACCUUAAUUCUAGUGCUCCAAGUCUUCCAUGCCCAUGUUCAUCUUCAAACUCUUGAACAAUUUAUUUGUAACUCCCUUAGUCAAUAAAUCAACCAUUUGAUUUUCACUUUUACAAUAUUCCAAUCUUAACUUUUCUUCACUAACAAGCUCCCUCAAGUAGUGAAACGUCGUCUCAAUGUGUUUGUUCCUCCCAUGUGCAAUUGAGUUCUUAGAAAGAUUAAUCGCAGAAAAGUUAUCAACGGGAAGUGUAACAACCUCCCCUUCUUUAGCCACAUGACUUGGCAUGCACAUAACGAAGCGACAAUAUACUCGGCCUCACAAGACGAGAGUUCAACUACCGAUUCCUUCUUCAAACACAUGAGAUUGGUGUUCCUCAUAAUAUAAAGAUGUAUCCAACUGUAGACUUUAGAUCAUCUUUAUCAAUUCCUUCUUCAAACACAUGAGAUUGGUGUUCCUCAUAAUAUAAAGAUGUAUCCAACUGUAGACUUUAGAUCAUCUUUAUCUUUGCACCAAUUGAAAUCGGUAAAACUGAGUAAAUUGCUUUUUCUGCCCAUAUCCGUUGUAGGAAAGAGAAUUUCGUAUCCAAUAGACCCUUUGACAUAUCUUAGAAUUCUUCUUGACUGCUGUCAAGUGAGACACCUUCGCUCUCCCCAUGAAUAUACUCAUAAUACUGAUACUAAACGCCAAUUCCGGUCGCGUAUUGCACAAAUAGCGCUAGGAUCCAAUCAGCCUCCUAUAGUGAGUUAGACCAACAUCUUACUCAUCCAAAAUUCCUAGUUUUAAAAUAAGGGAAUCAAAGAUAAAAAAAAAUGAAAAUAGGGGAACCAAAAAUACAAUUAAGCCUAAUAAUUAUAUAAGGAAUAAAAAAAGAAAAAAAUUGGAUAAUCCACUACUCAAACCAUAAAUUUAUGAUUUUAUCCAAACCAUCGUAAUUAUAUUGUGGGUGGUUAUUUUACCUCACCCAAAAUAGUGUACCCUGUAUAGAUUGAGUCAUGGUUUUAGCUAAAAUUCAACCUAAAUCGACUCAUGUGCACCCCUAUUGCUAGGCGUGUCAAUAAAAAUAGUGUACCCUGUAUAGAUUGAGUCAUGGUUUUAGCUAAAAUUCAACCUAAAUCGACUCAUGUGCACCCCUAUUGCUAGGCGUGUCAAUUUGUUUACCGGAGUUUUUAGUAAACAAAUCAAGAAUUUUAAUUCACUUAAAUAAUUAAAUUUGAAAAGAUCUUAAGAACAUUUUAUGUGAAAUGUUUGAGAAAGUGUAAUAAUGUUAUGAUGUUAUAAAGGAAAUAAGUGUAGAAAUAUUUAAAAAGAAUAAAGUAAAAUGAAGAAAACGAAGAACAAAUGUAAUUGGAUAAAAAUGCUCGAGUUUAAAAGUGGGACGCAUGUUCAUAUAUUUCUCAAAAAAAUUAUAUUAUUAUGACUUAGAUGUUUGAACUUUAUAGGAAAUAAAAUGAAAUGUGAACCCUUGCCUUAGAUGUCAAAUCUAGUUAUAUAUUAUACACAUUAUUACGUGUCGGAAACGGUUAUUCCUUCAUGAUUCAACCCGUAUCUUAUUACGUGGACUUUUAUUUUUUGAUAUACUUUCACAAAUCUUUGAUUCUAGAAGUGUGUGAAACUACUAUCACACUUGAAAUUGUUUUCAAAUUCUCUAAUUGUCUCGAUCGAAUAGUUCUUCAAUCGAAUCUUAUGGUAUUUUAUCAUAAAUACUAACUAAGUCAUCCAAAGAAUAUGUAAAGUCUUUAGUUAAAUUAGUUGUCUCUUAGAUGUGGAUCGAAUUCAUCCUCUCGAUUAAAACCAUUAAUAUGUCAAAAUUAUAAUUUAAUCUUCUUACCCUCAAUAUUUUCAUACAUUUAUACCACACAUUAACAUCGAAAUACUAAGAUAAAGGUUUCUUACCAGCGGACUUAAAAAUAGUAUUUUAUCCUUUUUAUACUAGGGGUGUAAUUGUAUACAAUAAAACAUGUUACUCUAAAAUUACUCUCAAUUGUCCCCUUAAACCGGCUUAAGGUGAAUUCCAGUUACUAAGAUAUUGUUCUUCCAAAAUAAAAACUGGGUCAACUUUUGACCAAGAGAGGAGCUCGUUGCAUACGACACUAUGUUCCAUUCCCACCACACAGCAACCACAUUCGCGCGCGAUUCAACUUCCGAUUCCUCUGUU